UUACAAUAUAUAUAAGGGCAAAGCCUUAAUCAUCUUUUUCUUUAUGCAUCAAACUAAAAAGUUUCUAAAAAUCAAAAGAAAAUCCAUGGCUUGCAAAUGUAUUAAAAAUCUUAUGCUUGUGAUGAUAAAGUUAUUUAUCAUUAUUCUCCUAAAAGUGCAAGCUAAUGACCUUGCCAAUAUCCCUUUCCAUACCUCUGCACCUCUCACACUGGUAUUACAUUUUCCUAAACUUGAUAAAGUUCAAACUAAUGACCUUGCCUCUACCACUUGUUGUCCUUCUCCAAUGCCCAUCCCACAUACUCAAUCCUCUGAACAUGAUGAAGUCCAACGAACAAUACAUACAUGCUUCGACAAUGAAAUUAAAGUUUGUGAAAAAAAAUGGCCACUUCACGAGUUUUUUGAAAAUCACUUGAAAAAUUUUAUAGAAUGUAGUAUUGUAGGUCAUGCAAAAUGUUGGUCGAAUCGGCAUACCAAAGAGGUGAUGACUCCCAAGCAUUUAUCAUGUGUAAUUGACUGUGUAAAAUAUCGAACGGAUGUUGCGACCUGUUUCAAAGAAUGUUAUGAAAGGCAUAUCGAGAAGCAUUCAGAUGUCGUCUAUACACAGAAUCCCUAACAUAAGAUUCAUAUGGAGGCUUCUAAGAGAAUGUGCGGGAGCAAGACUUGUUUGAUAGCCCUCAAUUGUCCAUCCUUUCAAAUAAUAUUGUUUUGAGUUGUAGAUUACUGUUUAAUUGAUAUGUUGUACUACCUAAUUUGAUACUGUUUGUUUUCAGUUUUUAAACUGGAACAUUUUGGACCCAAAAAUAUUUCAUUGGGGAGUUGAAUUUUAUAUGGGAUUUGUUGUCUUGUUU